rnacentral:tRNA from 1 species
GGCUGAGUAGCUCAGUUGGUAGAGCAAGGGACUGAAAAUCCCUGUGUCCCUGGUUCGAUUCCAGGUUCAGCCA